GGGGCUUCCUGUCCUUGUGCCCCUCUCAUACCCCUGCUGGUUACAGAACAGGGAGGAAGACAACUGGGUGUUGUGACUGACACUUGCAGGUGGCAGGCUUCAGUAUUUCAGAGGGGGCUCAAGAGAAGCGAAGAAACAGACCUAUUUUGUUGAUGAUUAAGCCAGAUUUCUGUUAGUUUGUGAAAUUGACAAGCUGAUACCAAAGAACUCAAAAUAAUAAAGAGAAGAGAUCAUGAGAAAGUCACAGGGGAUUCCUGUUUCAGAACAACAUCAGAGAGAAUACGAGGAAACUGAGGGACCUGAGAAAAGUGUAGGUAAGUUUUCAAAAAUCCCAUUGCUUCCAAACCCAUUAAAAUGACAGUUUUCUCCUGGCAUUAUCAUUUCCUGCCUUUGAAUCUACAUCCGUCCUCUGCCUUGCUCUUCUCCUGGAUGUCGGCCCUUCC
rnacentral:lncRNA from 9 species